AGAGCGAACGCUGGCGGCAUGCUUAACACAUGCAAGUCGCACGGGCAGGGGAAACCCUGUCAGUGGCGGACGGGUGAGUAACGCGUAGGUAUCUAUCCUUGGGUGGGGGAUAACGGUUGGAAACGACUGCUAAUACCGCAUGAUAACUGAGGUUUAAAGGCGCAAGUCGCCUGGGGAGGAGCCUGCGUACGAUUAGCUUGUUGGUGGGGUAAAGGCCUACCAAGGCGACGAUCGUUAGCUGGUCUGAGAGGAUGAUCAGCCACAUUGGGACUGAGACACGGCCCAAACUCCUACGGGAGGCAGCAGUGGGGAAUAUUGGACAAUGGGCGAAAGCCUGAUCCAGCAAUGCCGCGUGUGUGAAGAAGGUCUUCGGAUUGUAAAGCACUUUCGACAGGGACGAUGAUGACGGUACCUGUAGAAGAAGCCCGGCUAACUUCGCGCCAGCAGCCGC
rnacentral:rRNA from 1 species